ACUUGUUUUCGGUCAAGGGUAUAUAAGUAGCUCCAGUCCCCUGCUAGAACCUCCAAACAAACUCUCAAGAUCCAUAGUAGGAAUGUAGGGUAGUCAAGG
rnacentral:sRNA from 14 species